ACACAUAUAUUUUUCUCAUAAAACACGUGUACUGUAUUUUACCAUCCGAGGCAAAGCCCUCUCUUCAGUGGCAAUUUUAAGAGGAUUAAUUCAACAAUUCUCUUCACCUUCUUGGGGUUUCUCUCGGCUGCAACAGCGAUGUCUCUCCUUGGUUUUUACAGGGUUUUUUUUUCUUUUAUCUUCUCAGCUUCCAUCCCUUUUGCUCCCAUGGUGACUCAAAUUCGCAACAUUCGGGUUAGAAGUGAGGUGCUUACCAUCCGAGCAACUCCCUCUCGUCAGUUUUCACAGAUUUGAUUUUUCUUUAUCUUUAUUUUUUUUCUUUUGGUGUUGAAAUUUUGUCCCAAUAGAUAUGUGCUAACUUAAAAGAAAAUGAUGAAUUGAAAAUUUCAAAUUUCAAAUUUGUUGAUUAUAUAUAAAGAGGUACCAUUUCAACAAUUACUACAUUCAAAUUAAUGGUUGCUCAAUGUGCAGAAUCUUUAGCCAACUGGAGAUGGCUAAUUUCUUAGAGAUUCAUAGAGUUUUUGGCACAAAAUCUUGCAAAUUCUAAGACUCUCUUUUGAGUUUUCCAUAGAAAAACAGCUCAACCCUAUCUCAUUUGGUGUUUUCAAGAUGAAACUCCAAAAUUACAUUAUCUAUUUUCUUUUGAUUUUUAGUACUGGUAAAUUACCACUACAGAAAACAUGCAAAAAUUAGAAAGGGAACACGAUUUUUAUGUUUCUUAUACUCUCCUGCUAUCUGCCUUUUUAAGUUUAGAAUUUACAUUCUUAACUACUUUAGUUUGAAGCUUCCUGGGCAAAAUUUAUUGAUGACUCAAAUAGUUUGGCUCCUAAAUUGAUCUGCAUCUUGCUCUACUCUUUGACAAACUACUUGAUUACUUUUAAUCUUUAGAUGUGCUAGAGGAGUGAGUCCGUACGUUUUCCUGAGACUUAUCUUUUCAUUCUUUUCAUUCAGUUUUCACGUGUGUUGUUCGGACUCUUCAAAAAUAUCAAUGGUUGCAUGUCAAAUUCUCUAAAAGUAGUGUAUAUUUGAAGAAUUCAACACGAAUGUGGCAUUGAAAGUGAAGUGUCUGUGCAACUGAGAUUUCUGCAGAGGUGUUGUUAGCACUCCUUAUAGGAAACACUCCUUUGCUUGGAGUAUGAAGUUUUGUAGGAUUCUAAUUCAUAAUUUCUCAGGAAUAUGUGCAAUUUGAACCGACUUUUCUCAUCUCUGGGAGUAGGAAAAUUGGAGUACUACAUGGUCUCCGAUUCGUAACUUCACAGUCACUCAUCAAAUUUAUUUUUGGGAAUUGUUAAAGAAAAAGUUACGUGUGAAUGGGUGUAAAAUUAGCUGACGAGGCUAUAACAAGGCAUGUUGAGAUGGUUUAGAAAGCAUUUCAAUAGCAACAACUCUUUAGAUCUACCAAAAAAUGGCGGACAGAGAGACGUUUGCUUUCCAGGCUGAGGUUAAUCAGCUUCUCAGUCUUAUUAUCAACACUUUCUACAACUACAUGGAGGUCUUCUCGGUGAACUCAUAAGCAAUUCUUCCGAUGUACUAUGGAGAUAGGCAACACUUCUUUGCUGAAGAAUAUGUAAUUCUCAAUGGGUUAUCUGCUUAUGUCCUUGAAAUCUUUUCUUCUUUAUAAUUCUUUUUUGUACUGAAAACAAGUGCAACUUGAACCAAUUUACUUUGUCUCGGUGAGUAGAAAAAUGGGAGUAUUUACAUGGUGUCCACCUUGUGACAUUACAAUACUCAUCAAAUUUUACUUUUCAAAAUUGGUAAAGAGAGAUACAUGUUAAUGGGUGUGAAAUUAGCUGGCGAGGCUAAUUAAGAAAUGUUGGAAUGGUUCGGAAAGCAUUUCAAAUUUUACUUGAAUCAUUCUUCUCAUAAGAAUGAGUUGGAUUGUGCUCAUGACAUAUAAUCAUAUGAAGAGCUAGGGUGACUUAUGGAUGGUAUAAAUAUUGCAAACUUGAACUUUCCGAACUAUGGAUAAGAUAGGCUAUAAUAGGCAACUCAAUUGUAUAUCUCUUAAGACUUCUUUCUACGUAAAGAAAUUCUCUGUUCCAUUCAAUUAGAAUUGCCACUACAAGAAUGAUUGAUGUAAACAAGCACAAGAAUUGUUUUGCUAAUGUUACUUUAACCAAG